GUUACCGGCCAGAGGGCGCGGGAACCACCCGAACCCAUACCGAACUCGGAAGUUAAACCGCGCUCCGUCUGCGGUGGUAGUGUAGUCCUCGGCUACGCGAAGCCGCGGAAGCUGGUAACC
rfam:Candidatus Bathyarchaeota archaeon B23 scaffold7437, whole genome shotgun sequence.